rnacentral:lncRNA from 1 species
AGGGCUCGCGGGGGUCCCGCGAGGGUCUCGGUAGCCGCGCGCCCAGAGACCCCCGCCGCGGCCCGAUUCUCUGAGCGCCAGACAUGAACCGCAAGAAACUGCAGAAGCUGACGGACACCUUAACCAAAAAUUGCAAGCAUUGUCCAAGUUCUGGAAGCUUACCAAGAGACCCAUAGGAGAAAACGGUGCUCAACUUCUCAACAUCUUUCGGAGAGAUGAGUUGUGUCAUCUCAUCUGUGCCUCAGAACAAUAUUUGUUUGGAAACCAGAGUUCAGCACAACUAAACACGUGACUAUGAACUGGCUGUGAGAGAAGAGACUCUUCUACUGGAGGCCUUUGGGCCAUGUCUUCCUGAUCCAAAGCUAGGCUCACAGAGGUCCCUGGGGUGAGAGAUUGUCAGCGUGGAGGACAUUUGGAUGCACUGGUUGAAACCCAGGCUGCCCUCUCCUAGCCUGAGCUGCACCUGCCCACCUCCCAUCUGCAUUUCCAAAGCCUCGUGUGGAUGAAGGGGACCUAAGCAGCCUGCUCCCUGAGGGAGGACACCACCACUUGGAGCCACACAGCCUGAAGACAGAGAACAGUGUGGAAAUUGAGGAAAUUGGAUUUUGGAAAAUCAGGAACGUCCUAUGUGUCUCAACUAGAAAAGGGCAAAAGCCAAGAUUCAGACCUUAUCUAGUUCUAAUGCUGAAGACCUUUGUCUAAAGCAAAUCUGUUCUCGCCACAUAUCCUCCACUUACUCCUGUGGAGUGAGUGAGUGUCUCCAGCUCCAGAAUCUCCCGGCAGACCCUCGUGGCUGCAGGCUGGGUUGCUAUGUGGUGUACAUGUAUUGUGAGAUCAUUGAUUCCUCUCCUAUCCACUCUUCUCAUCUGAACAUACCUUGGGAUUUGCUUUCUUUAGUGGGAGUUUCCUGCUUGGAUGUAAUGCCUUUCAUAUUUGGUGCUAAUAAGAAUCUGGACAUUAGGCUGGGACCUGGCCUUAACAAGAGUUCAGAUGUGGUGGAGAACAUGGAGUGGUCACUAGGCUGGAAAACUCUGUUGGCACCAAGAGAGGCAGAGUGAGAGGAGCGUCAACAGACUAUGCUAAGAGGGAAGAGAGGUAGAGACCACCACCUGCUUGUGAGGAGAAUGGUGGAAGCCAGACUCCUCAACUAGAGAGGGACAAGGAAUGCUUCUUUGGGCCGUCUCGGAUGAUGUCAGGGAAAGGCUUCUACCUAGAGAAGAAGAAGAUGCCAAUGAUAAGAGGCCAUGAAAUGAAGUGGCAAACAUAAUAAAUUAUAAUGUGGUGCUUUCCAGGUGCCAGUCACUAGCCCAAGGAUAGACAGCUGGGACAUGGUAGAGCUGGGAUUUGUACCAGAUUUGACCUGCAGCCCAGGCCAUUACCCAUGUUCUAGCCCUGACUGCCUCUUACUGUCACAAGAUACCACCUGGCAUGGCACAGGUCACAUGAACUUUGAAAGUGUGAUAUAAGUGAAAAGUGAUUAUAGGUUGGUAGGAACCAUGGCAUUUAUCAUCCCAAAUGGGAUGCUAUCGUGAAAGAAGAUGCUCAUAGUUACAUCAGCACAAUGUAAUCUGGGGUUGUCCCAGGCAAAGCAGGAUGUAUUGUCACCCUAUUUAUAGGUUAUGAAUUACUCCACAAAUUAAAUUUAUGUAAAAUUGGAAUAA